UCGGAAUGACUGGGCGUAAAGGGCGCGUAGGCGGAUGGCACAGUCAGAUGUGAAAUUCCCGGGCUUAACCUGGGGGCUGCAUUUGAUACGUGUGAUCUGGAGUGAGGAAGAGGGUCGUGGAAUUCCCAGUGUAGAGGUGAAAUUCGUAGAUAUUGGGAAGAACACCGGUGGCGAAGGCGGCGACCUGGUCCUUUACUGACGCUGAGGCGCGAAAGCGUGGGGAGCAAACAGG
rnacentral:rRNA from 1 species